rnacentral:rRNA from 1 species
AGGGUGUAAACGCUGCAGACUUGGUGUUGGGGCCCUUUGGGGGCAUUCAGUGCCGGAGAGAAGUUGUUAAGUCUGCUACUUGGGAGUACGUCCGCAAGGAUGAAACUUAAAGGAAUUGGCGGGGGAGCACCGCAACGGGAGGAGCGUGCGGUUUAAUUGGAUUCAACACCGUAAACUCACCAGGGAAGACUGUUACAUGAAGGCCGAGAUGAAGACUCUGCUAGAUUUUCAGAGAGGAGGUGCAUGGCGUCAGUGACU